GCCAGGAAACGGACUAGAGAGUGAUUUUAUCAGCUAAUCACCUUUAGCAAAAUCGAGCUUGUUUAUUUUAGUUAGAUUUAACCAAUGAAAGUUGUACCCCUUCAUCGGUGCUUUGAAAAAUAAUUAAAGGACCCUGUUUGAAGCAAGUGCUUGCGCUUUCACGGGUAAUCCUUGACCGAGUGGUCUUAAGGAAUACAUUCAGUGUUCUCUAACCUUAAAGUCGAUUAAAAUUUCAAUAUUAUAACCAAGUACCACCAGGAAGUAUCUUUGGAAAAUGCAAAAUUAAGCAAACAGUUUGAUUUUUUAGAUUUAUUAGUGAAAUAUGCAUUUUGAUAAAACAGUUUUCUGAAAAGGAAUAAUAAAACUACACAUCUGACGCAGUUGUAUAUAAUAAAACUGCUUUAGAUUACACACAAGUUGAAAAUGCCGAUGGUAUACGCGAAAUCAGAGGAGCUAAGCACACAUUCUCGUAUGACCUGUGCUCGGCUUGACGUCACAUGAUCAAGUCUUUAGGACCGUGAUGAUUCCUGUGUGAUGGACAACACCAACUUGAGAUCGUUAGCAUCUUCAAUAACAUGAACACUUGCACACAUCUAUCUAAGUACACUUCAAGAAUUAGCAGUCGUAUAAUGGCAGAACAUUUCAAGUCGGUGGGGACAUUCUACAAUCAAACAACCCCUUGGCUAUAAACUCUACAUCUACAACAACAAGGCAGCAGCAACAACAACAACGAUGAUUCCCUGUUUUCAGAAUGAUAACAUGAAAAGCAGUGCUACAUAAAACAUUGACUAAAUACCAAAUUUGACAACAGUCCUGUCAGUGUUAAUUACUUGUACUUAAUCUGCAGUGUUAUUUUCUAAUUGUUAACUAUGUUUAUUAAUUACCUGAGGGCUAAUUACCAAUUAGUCUAUAUUAUGUCAGACAUUUUGACAAAUAACGUGUCAGUUUACUUUCUAUUGCUUACGAAAAGAAAAUCUUGCAUUAAAAAGGGACGGUAUCUAUACGUAUCUAUACAAUUUGAUAUCAUUGUUUGGGAUUUAGGCACAGAUUUUCUUUUGCGUAUUUUUUGUCGAAAAUACAACUUGAUCAUCAUUGUUUGGGAUUUAGGCACAGAUUUUCUUUUGCGUAUCUUUUUUUUUGUCGGAAUUACUUUUUUAUUUCUUUAUUAUUUACCGGUUUGGGGUUGAGAAACAUAGUUUCUUACGAUUUUAUUUAUCUAUUCAAUUAUAACCAUUGUUUGGGGUUGACGCAAAGAUUUUCUUAAAAAUCUUGAUAAAAAAGGGACGAAUGUCACGUAACAGAGUUUAAUACUAUAGAAUGUGACGUAAUACGUUAUAAUUAAGAUAUAAUUAAGAUUUAAUUAAAUGGAUAUGUGUCUACAUAUUGCAUGUUUAGUAAUGUAGGGCAUAUUUGAUUGUCAUUUGAAUAUGAAGAUGGUUGACAGCCGACCUGGUACAAAUGUACAAAAUGGUCAUGUUAAUUACAAAAACGUGUAUUCCUGUGGUUGUAAAGCUGUCAUAGGUAGACAACAAAUUAGUACAAAUUAGUAUAAAAGAGAUGAUUUGGGAUGUGAAAAGAGAGUAAUUUUAGUAUUACAAUUUGGAACAGAAAAUUACAUUUCUAUGUAUGUCUGUAGUACUAGAUUCAUAAACAUAAUUAAAAUCUAAUAAAUAAUCAAAAAUUAUGAUUUUGUAAAAACGGCUCUCCAAUUGGGAAAAAUUCCAAUUGGAGAAUUCCACAGUCAAUUUCUAUAGAUAAAAGCCACCAAUUGGAGUUCACAGAAGUUGGUGAUCACAGAAGUUGGAGGAAUCACCAGUUGGAGACUUUCACCGUAUAACAUCUGCUGGGGAGAAAUAAAGUUGUGAUAUAUACAUGUUAUGAUAUUAUUGCUCAUUAAUUUAAUAUUGUAGAUUAUUCAAGAAAAUAACAUUGCAAGAUGUUACCUGAUUUCGAGUAUUACAUCGGUGUUUUCACUUGUGACGUUGUGUGCAAUCUAAAACAGUGAUCUUAAAUACAACUGCGUUAGAUUUGCGAAUUAUUUAUCCUUUUCUGAAGCCUUCUGGUCCUAGAUGCUCGAAAAUAUUAAAUACUUUUAAAAAGAAUAACUUACUAAUUUUCAUUUCCUGGUGGGCUCAAUUUGUGUCUUUCAGUUAAUCGAAUAGGUUAGAGAACACCAUCUUAUAUUGUCAGUAGGUACAUUAAACUAUGUUGACUUAGUGACAAACUUAAUUUGAUCACUCCAAUUUAAAGAAAAAAACCUUUCGAUGUGUAUCUUUUAUCCUAUGCAAAAGUGGCUUCUUUUUAUUAUUUCGUUUCCAUCACUCACGGUAUGUUAUUUUUCUUGUCAUAUGAAAUGGGUACAUAUAUGUAUGAUAGCACUAUCACGAACCUAUUACCAGUAUAGGUUAAACAAUUAUUUAUAAGUCAGUGAUAUUAUUUAUAAAUGUUCUAUAACAUUGUGUAUUGACUUAAUACUUCGUAAAAAAAUAAGCUCAACAAUCAUUCUUUGUUUCAGAAUUCAUCCAUUUCAAAUGAUUCUUUGAAAAGGAGCCAUUAUCUCGGUUCACUUAUUGUCAGGGUUUAGGAGCUGUAGCUAAAAGCAGUGACGAAAUUCGUUUACACUCUUAAAUUGUGCUCAGUUACAUUGAACACCUGCCAUAACUGAAUGAUAGCUUUACAUUGAUAAAUAAGAAGUAAAUAUAUCCAAAUACUAUUGCAAGUGGUAUUUUUUUGCAAAAGUGUAUAGCCCUUCACGCAAUUCAUGAUAGUUUAAAAACUCAUGUCUUGAAUGACAUUAUCUUUGAUCAAGUAUACGUUCUAAGCAUUAGGAAUGAUAUUGUUCAUAUUGUUUCAUCCUGCUACCUGUUUGCAUGUUUUUGUUCGUUUAUCAAAUAUACGCAUGUACUUUGCUUAUCAAUAUCAUGUCCACGUGUUUGUGAAUGGAGGAUAAAGAUACUGUAAUAAUGUUUCAAAGAUGAAUAUCGUUAAACACGUUGAUUAAAUAUUAACAUAUUUUUAAAUCACAUAAGUCACGGUGACAUUUAUGAGAGUUAGGCGAAGAUUUUGUGAUGGAUUUUAUAUUUGCUACUGUACAGUAGGGGAGGUUACUGCGUAGGAGACGAACAUUUUCUUAAACCGGUUUAGCAUCAAAUCAAGUAGGACCUACUCCGGUGACCUCAGACGAACAUUCGUGUAAAAAUGGAUUGAAAUGGACAAUCAUAAAAUUUUGGGCUAUGGACUUAUUGAAGACAACUGUAUGGAGAUAAACAGAAACACAGAGGUGCUAUACUUUCUGAUGGAAAAGACAACAAAAGCAUCUCCCAUCAUUUUGGCGUGGCUCAGAUCAAGAGGAGAAAUUUAAAAAAGGUGAUGGUUGGGCACAAACAAGAAGACAUAGAUCACAGGCGUAUAGCAUAUGAGUAGACAGGAGUUUCACACUCUGCCAGACUUACUUCCUCAGACGAGCAGAUUUAGGCUUCUCAAGAUCACGCACUGCACACUAAGACAUAGUCUUUGACUACAACAAGGCCUUAGGGGAUGAAAGUACAGAGAGGUCCAAUUGAAAUCAAUUCUGUGCUGCGUCAUUUCUUUAUUCUAGAGGUUGAUGGACAUGAUUUAUGGCAUCAAGUGUGCAGUUUGUCAACUAACUAUCAACACAGCAGUCUUGUUCACCAGCUGCUCAACUUGAGCUUUUAGCUUUAUUGCUUGAAGCCACUGUAUAAGAGGAGGGAAGGUGCAGACUCAUCAAAAAGUCUCAAGGUUGAAACUAGGAAGAGAAGUUUGUCAAGAGUGUGAAUAUUUGCUUUGAAAACAAUUGUUACAAUGAUUUGGUUUCCUUUGAAACUUGAUACAUACUAUGUGUAUGUUGAAUGAAUUGAGAUGCUUAAAUAAAGAACCACUAUUCAAAUAUCAGGAAACUGCAUUUUUCAUACUAAAUUGGUAAAUGAUGUCACCAUUUCCUGUAUGUAUUUAGAUAAGAUAUGUUUCCACAAUUAAUAUUUUUAGGGACUAUUUCUCAACGUAAUGAAAUAGAUUAAAUUUGUACAGCGUGAUAUGAGCUUAAUAUGUGUUUUCUGUUUCCUUAAAAUUGAUGAAAAAUUGUCAGAAGGUAAUGAGACCAGUAUCCAUUACUGCAAUCAUACAAUAAAAAAUACAGGGACAAGCCCACUGCUCAUAUAAUAUGAUUAAACCUUGUUUAGGGGCAUGAGGCAAACAGAGUUACUUUCAAAUGUUAAAGAUGCACUCUCACACUUUGGAUGUUUUGACAACUGUUUUCAUUUUUAGCUCUACUGGCCAAAGGCCAGAAGAGCUUAUGCGAUGGUAAUGUGUACGUAGUAUGUGCAUCUGUAAACAAUCCUCGUUUACAUGAUACAGCCUACAGUUCCUUUCGAAAACCAGCCAGAUCCGCCCAUGUAUGCCUAGUUUAUGGGCCUUGAUAGUAUACAAAAAUCAGUGUGUCAGUAGGCAAUUGCUCGUUAACAUGAUACAGCCUUUUUGAUUGUAUCUCAAUGAAACUUGUACAGUAUCUACAUAUCCAUAUGAGCUCGGUUCCUUUCGAAAACCAGCCAGAUCUGCCCAUGCAUGCCAAGAUUAUGGGCCUUGAUAAUAAAAAAAAAUAGUGUGUCAGUAAACAAUUGCUCGGUAACACGAUACAGUCUUCAGUUUUGAUUGUAUCUUGAUGAAACUUGUCCAGUAUAUCCAUUAGAGCUCAGUUCCUUUCAAAAACCUGAUCUGCCCAUGUUUCCUGGAUUAUUGGCCUUGAAAUUAUUAGAUGAUGGGCCUUGAUAGUAUAAAAAAUGCUAUUUUGUAAUAAAUGCUUGCGAAUAUGAUACAGUCUUCAGUUUUGAGUAUUCAGAUACCCAUAAGGGGUUGGUUCUUUUCGAAAACAGUGAUGUUGACCACACAAACCCAGCCAGUAGAGCAUAGGCCCUUUUGGGCCUCUUGUUUGUUUUGGAUUGGUACCAUCCAGUCUUUGCGAAAAAUGCAUGGAAACCAGUAAUAUAAGACUACUGACAAAAAAUUCAAUUGCAGACUUUUUUAUUUAAGUUAAAACAUUGAUGUUUUAUGCACUUUUCUUAAACCGUUAGUAACAUUAAUCUUCGAAGGAAAUAUGAAAUCUGGGAUUUGAUGUUUUGUCAGCAAUCUUUUACCAUUGGUUUGCUGAUAUUUACGCAAAAAUUUGCUCAUUCCAAGACAAAACAAAAGUUGUUAAAACGGUAUAUCUGUGAGAAUGCAGCUCUAAAUGUUUUGGCAAACAUGUUUUUGAUUUGGCAGCACAAUCAAUCUUGAACAUUGCUUGAUUUUACUGCUGUAUUAGAAAUUACAGGGGGAAUGGGGGAUUUUUUUUAGUGUUUUUAUUGCUUUUUGUGAUUCAUACAGUCAUACUUCAUUCCCCAGGGCACAACUUACAAAUAGACAGAACAGGAAAAUGGUCAUUUUAAAAGGUCAAGGACAAUGCAAGUUGAACAAUCAUAUUGUUCAUGGCUUGUAUUUUUGGUAUAUUUUGUUGCAUAUAUGCUAUAAAAAAAGUUGAAAGUUAAAAAUAACUUCAUAGUUGAAAUGAUGGCUUUGAAUGGUUUUGUCAGUUGAGAAACAGCACUAUUAAGAAAUAUGUUAAUGGUACUUUAUUAUUUUAAUCAAUUUUAGAUAUUUGUAUGAAAAUUAUUAUCUUAUUUUGUACAUGAGACCUUUUAAACAGUUAUUUAUAAUUUAACAAUGUGUAAAUGAUCAAAACUUAAAGCUGCACUUUCACAGAUUGUCAUUUUAGACACUUUAAAAAUUUUGUCUCAAAAGCUGAUUUGGUUAUCAUUCCUUUAAUUCAGUCAUAUUAGAUAAUUCACAAUAGAACCAAUCAAAAAUGUUUGGUAAGACUGCCGAAAAGUUCAUUUACAUUAAAUUGUUCGUAAUGCUACUAUACCCAUAAAACAUCAUUUUAGCCAUAAAUAUGACAAAAUGCAAUCUGAUCUUAUUUCAGAAGUCUUAUAUCACUUAAAAUUGGGUCUAUGCAAAAAAUGGUCUAUUUAUAGACCAACAAUAAAAGAGUGCCGGUAGUCAAAACGAUCAAUUAGUGAGAUUGCAGCUUUAAAUACACCUUUUUAAGUCCGCUGUAAAAUUCCAAUGGUUUGCCUCAAUCUUUAAAGCUAGCAUACUGUUUAAUUGACAGCCAUACUUUUUGUUUAAAAGUGUCAUGAUAUGUUUGUACAAUGUGUUUAUAUAAUUCAUUAAAGAAGUCAA